GCAUUUUAGCUUUGUUGAUAUGUUGCCUGAUACUUCAAUCUUUGACAACAGAACAAUGAAAUAAAGUAUCAGACAAGAAACAAAGUAUCGAAAUGCCAAAGUUAAAAUUUUUCCCCAUAAUCCACCACAUUCCAGGUUUAGGCUGGCGAAAUGGAUUUUCCACGUUACCAUGAGAAUACCCACAAGCUAUAAAAACCCGAAUGACUUCAUUCAUGCUUUUUACACCGCGGCACACAUGCAGCUCACUCAUCUCAGCAUAAAUAUGAGCUCCGCUGACUGCUGCUAAUUGCUCUUUCAAGCAGUUAAGCAUUAGGACCCCCCAAGCACGCCGCGUCGCCUCCUUGAUGCCAUCGGAAUCGCCGACGACACUCCUGAGCACCGCCAGAAGUUCUUCUCAUCCAGACCUCCACAGACCCACGAAAACCACCUUCCAUAGAGACAAUUUUUAGAGUCUUCCCAUCUCAACGCCAUACCACUAGUACACAGACCCAGUUCUCGAUGCCACAAGAAAUUCAUUUGUUCAAAUGUGUUUAUUAAUACCCUUGCUAUCAAGGGAAUCGAUUUGGGUAAUUUUGAUAAUAUUGUAUGGAGGAAUUUGUGUUGGAUGUUGGGAGGAACGCUGUAUAUUCAUAAUUUUGAGUUUGGGGUGAGUUAUUAGAAUCAAAUUGGACUAAAUGGUUGUAUUCCUACAGA